UGUGCAGACAGGAGGCUCUACCACAGUUCCAGCAGUUACCUGUGUCUCAUCGCUGCCUCCCAUGACUUCAGUACUCAACUUAUCUGUAUCCAAUACUCUGUCGGCUAUGGACAGUACGCCCACAUCAAUGGAGGUCACCCUCCCCUCAUCCUCAACGCCGGACAAAAGCAAACCAGAUGUGACCUGAACUCUACUUUUAUUGUACCAUUGACUUUUGUUUUAAAUUAGAUAUAUAUAUGUAUACACAGAACUAAUGUUAAAGUAUUAAUAAA